UACGUAGGGCGCAAGCGUUGUCCGGAAUUAUUGGGCGUAAAGAGCUCGUAGGCGGUCUGUCGCGUCUGCUGUGAAAACUCAGGGCUUAACCCUGAGCUUGCAGUGGGUACGGGCAGACUAGAGUGCGGUAGGGGAGACUGGAAUUCCUGGUGUAGCGGUGAAAUGCGCAGAUAUCAGGAGGAACACCGGUGGCGAAGGCGGGUCUCUGGGCCGUAACUGACGCUGGAGGAGCGAAAGCAUGGGGAGCGAACAGG
rnacentral:rRNA from 1 species